rnacentral:rRNA from 1 species
UACGUAGGGAGCAAGCGUUGUUCGGAUUUACUGGGCGUAAAGGGCGCGUAGGCGGCGCGGUAAGUCACUUGUGAAAUCUCUGAGCUUAACUCAGAACGGCCAAGUGAUACUGCAGUGCUAGAGUGCAGAAAGGGCAAUCGGAAUUCUUGGUGUAGCGGUGAAAUGCGUAGAUAUCAAGAGGAACACCUGAGGUGAAGACGGGUUGCUGGGCUGACACUGACGCUGAGGCGCGAAAGCCAGGGGAGCAAACGGG